AAGGGACAAUUCAUGCAAGGCUGCAGUAGGUCAUUUUAAGCAUAUUGGUUUUAUAUAAACAUAGUAGAAAUCUAUUGAAAGUUUCUUCAUAAUUAGAUGGCAAGUCAGAUUUUAGUAUUGCAAAGUUAAGCCUCAAUUAUGGGUGGAAAAAUAAAAGGUUGAAAAAUGUGAUUAUUCCAGUAGGCUUAGUAAAAGGUGAAAACAUUUUUGGAUUCUAUAAGUAACUUGGCACUAAAGAUACAAAUAGCUCGAUAUAUUUAGGUGAAAUACUUCAUAGGUUUUAUCAUUUGUUGGAUAUGUUGGAGUUACUAAACGAUGUAUAAAAUAUGUUACUUCAGUUUCUGAUGGUGCAACUGGAUGAACUGUGAUACAAUUUAUUUAAAUAGUGAUUCCUGGAAGAUAAUUCUAUUUGACAAAUGACAGAGGAAGAUUUUCAACUUGAUUUUGUUGACCUACCUAUUAGAGGCAUUUUAGCUAUUCAUGUAUAUAUUUUUAAAAGACAUUUGAAUGUGUCUUGAAUGGAUAAGGAGGUUUAGGGCUUGGAAAAAUGUGAGAACUGGAAAUAUAUAUUUGAUCAACAUAAAUAUGUAGGCAAUUGAAACUGUGGAGGUCAAUGGCAUUCCGUAUGCUGACUAUAGAAUGAACAAGAAAAGAAUGCUGGAAUCAAUAUAGUUGAGUAACUGACAUAUUGUGGAUUUGUAGAAAAAAGAUGAGUUUCUAGUAACAGAGAAGUACCUACAGUGACAGAAGCAUUAAAGGAAAUAAAUUGAGAUGCGUAAUACAGAAAAUUCUUAGGAGAAUUUUCAGCAAUUUUUCAUUAGCCAAUGUUUUAACGCUCUCCAUUGCAAUUUGUAUUGUAUGCAUACUUCCAAUUUAAUGAAAAAUGCUUUUCCUAUGCAUUCCAUAAAGAAUCUUCUUGCUUGACUAGUAAGAGUUCAUUCUGCUUGAUGUGUCUAUGUUUUAACACUGUCUACAUAUUCUACAUUUAUGUUACAGUAGAGAUAAUAAAUGACACUUGCUAAAAUGCACAUUUUGAUUAAAGUGGCAGGGAUUGGCUUUAUGUGUGAGAGUUUAGAUACCUUUGAUCUAUUUAUCACAAAUUCCUAUGAAGAUACUGCCUUUUGAAUAAGAUAUUUUCCAAAUGUAUCAAUGACAUCACUGUUAACAUCCAAAUUUAAAUAGUGUUUGAUUAAACUGAAGACCAAACCGUUCAAGGAUAAAACAACAAAUUGCAAGUCAAAAUGACAUGCUACAAGGUGACG
rnacentral:lncRNA from 10 species